rnacentral:rRNA from 1 species
CCUACGGGGUGCAGCAGUGGGGAAUAUUGGACAAUGGGCAAAAGCCUGAUCCAGCCAUGCCGCGUGUGUGAAGAAGGCCUUCGGGUUGUAAAGCACUUUCAGUGGGGAAGAAAGCCUUGGGGCUAAUACCCUCGAGGAAGGACAUCACCCACAGAAGAAGCACCGGCUAACUCCGUGCCAGCAGCCGCGGUAAUACGGAGGGUGCGAGCGUUAAUCGGAAUUACUGGGCGUAAAGCGCGCGUAGGCGGUCUGAUAAGCCGGUUGUGAAAGCCCCGGGCUCAACCUGGGAACGGCAUCCGGAACUGUCAGGCUAGAGUGCAGGAGAGGAAGGUAGAAUUCCCGGUGUAGCGGUGAAAUGCGUAGAGAUCGGGAGGAAUACCAGUGGCGAAGGCGGCCUUCUGGACUGACACUGACGCUGAGGUGCGAAAGCGUGGGUAGCAAACAGGAUUAGAUACCCGAGUAGUC